UGAGGAAUAUUAGAAAUGGACGAAAGUCUGAUCUAGCAACACCGCGUGUGCGAAGAAGGCCUUCGGGUUGUAAAGCACUUUUUGGAAGGAUUAGGAAGGAAUGUACUUCCAGAAUAAGUCUCGGCUAACUACGUGCCAGCAGCCGCGGUAACACGUAGGAGGCAAACGUUAUCCGGAUUUACUGGGCGUAAAGCGCGUGUAGGUGGUUCUGUAAGUAGGGCGUGAAAGCUCCUGGCUCAACUGGGAGAGGCCGUUCUAAACUGCAGAGCUAGAGGAUGGGAGAGGGAGGUGGAAUUCCGGGUGUAGUGGUGAAAUGCGUAGAUAUCCGGAGGAACACCAGUGGCGAAAGCGGCCUCCUAGACCAUUUCUGACGCUAAGACGCGAAAGCUAGGGUAGCAAACG
rnacentral:rRNA from 1 species